UUUAAGUGAAGAGUUUGAUCCUGGCUCAGAGUGAACGCUGGCGGUAGGCCUAACACAUGCAAGUCGAACGGCAGCACAGAGGAGCUUGCUCCUUGGGUGGCGAGUGGCGGACGGGUGAGGAAUACAUCGGAAUCUACUUUUUCGUGGGGGAUAACGUAGGGAAACUUACGC
rnacentral:rRNA from 1 species